UACGGAGGGUGCAAGCGUUAUCCGGAUUCACUGGGUUUAAAGGGUGCGUAGGAGGGCAGGUAAGUCAGUGGUGAAAUCUCCGAGCUUAACUCGGAAACUGCCGUUGAUACUAUCUGUCUUGAAUCCCGUGGAGAUGAGCGGAAUAUGUCAUGUAGCGGUGAAAAUGCUUAGAUAUGACAUAGAACACCAAUUGCGAAGGCAGCUCGUUACACGAAGAUUGACUCUGAGGCACGAAAGCGUGGGGAUCAAACAGG
rnacentral:rRNA from 1 species